GAUAGCUCAGUCGGAUAGAGCGACUGCCUCCUAAGCAGUAGGCCGGAGGUUCGAUUCCUCUUC
rnacentral:tRNA from 1 species